rnacentral:rRNA from 2 species
UACAGAGACCUCAAGCGUUAUCCGGAAUCAUUGGGCGUAAAGCGUACCGAUAGGUGGUUUAGAAAGUCAGAUGUGAAAUUCCAAGGCUCAACCUUGGGACUGUCAUUUGAAACUUCUAAACUAGAGGGGCAAAGAGGAAGCUGGAACGAACGGUGUAGUAGUGAAAUGCGUUGAUAUCGUUCGGAACACCAAUAGCGAAGGCGGGCUUCUGGGUGCCACCUGACACUGCUAGGACGAAAGCGUGGGGAGCGAAUGGG